AUACGGAGGAUGCGAGCGUUAUCCGGAUUUAUUGGGUUUAAAGGGUGCGCAGGCGGCCAUUUAAGUCAGCGGUUAAAUCGUGGGGCUCAACCCCAUUCUGCCGUUGAUACUGGGUGGAUUGAUUGCGGUCGAGGUUGGCGGAAUUCGUUGUGUAGCGGUGAAAUGCAUAGAUAUGACGAAGAACACCGAUUGCGUAGGCAGCUGACCAGACCGCAAAUGACGCUCAUGCACGAAAGUGCGGGGAUCGAACAGGAUUAGAUACCCUGGUAGUCCGCACAGUAAACGAUGAAUACUUGUUUUCGGCGAUAUAAUGUCGGAGGCAAAGCGAAAGCGAUAAGUAUUCCACCUGGGGAGUACGCCGGCAACGGUGAAACUCAAAUGAAUUGACGGGG
rnacentral:rRNA from 1 species